rnacentral:rRNA from 1 species
UACAGAGGUCCCGAGCGUUGUUCGGAUUCAUUGGGCGUAAAGGGUGCGUAGGCGGUUUGCUAAGUUUGAUGUGAAAGCCCGGGGCUCAACCCUGGAAUUGCAUUGAAUACUGGCGGACUAGAGUACUGGAGAGGAAACUGGAAUUUACGGUGUAGCAGUGAAAUGCGUAGAGAUCGUAAGGAAGACCAGUGGCGAAGGCGAGUUUCUGGACAGUUACUGACGCUGAGGCACGAAAGCCAGGGGAGCAAACGGG